rnacentral:misc_RNA from 1 species
UCUUGGUCAUUUAGAGGAAGUAAAAGUCGUAACAAGGUUUCCGUAGGUGAACCUGCGGAAGGAUCAUUACAGAAAGUAAACGCGGAUCAAACCGCGAACUUCUAAACCUUUGACGAUCGACUCAUGUUGCCUCGGCGGGUGCUCUCGCCAGAGGAUACAUCAAAACAUGUUUUAACGGUGUUGUCUGAGCUACAAGCAACGAAUCAAAACUUUCAACAACGGAUCUCUUGGUUCUGGCAUCGAUGAAGAACGCAGCGAAAUGCGAUAAGUAGUGUGAAUUGCAGAAUUCAGUGAAUCAUCGAAUCUUUGAACGCACAUUGCGCCCCUUGGUAUCCCGAGGGGCAUGCCUGUUCGAGCGUCAUUUCACCACUCAAGCCUGGCUUGGUGUUGGGCGACGUCCCCUUUGGGGACGUGCCUCGAAACGCUCGGCGGCGUGGCACCGGCUUUAAGCGUAGCAGAAUCUUUCGCUUUGAAAGUCGGGGCCCCGUCUGCCGGAAGACCUACUCGCAAGGUUGACCUCGGAUCAGGCAGGGAUACCCGCUGAACUUAAGCAUAUCA